rnacentral:rRNA from 1 species
ACACAUGCAAGUCGAGGGGCAGCAUGGUCUUAGCUUGCUAAGGCCGAUGGCGACCGGCGCACGGGUGAGUAACACGUAUCCAACCUGCCGUCUACUCUUGGACAGCCUUCUGAAAGGAAGAUUAAUACAAGAUGGCAUCAUGAGUCCGCAUGUUCACAUGAUUAAAGGUAUUCCGGUAGACGAUGGGGAUGCGUUCCAUUAGAUAGUAGGCGGGGUAACGGCCCACCUAGUCUUCGAUGGAUAGGGGUUCUGAGAGGAAGGUCCCCCACAUUGGAACUGAGACACGGUCCAAACUCCUACGGGAGGCAGCAGUGAGGAAUAUUGGUCAAUGGGCGAGAGCCUGAACCAGCCAAGUAGCGUGAAGGAUGACUGCCCUAUGGGUUGUAAACUUCUUUUAUAAAGGAAUAAAGUCGGGUAUGGAUACCCGUUUGCAUGUACUUUAUGAAUAAGGAUCGGCUAACUCCGUGCCAGCAGCCGCGGUAAUACCGAGGAUCCGAGCGUUAUCCGGAUUUAUUGGGGUUAAAAGGGAGCGUAGAUGGAUGUUUAGUUCAGUUGUGAAAGUUUUGCGGCUCAACCGUAAAAUUGCAGUUGAUACUGGAUAUCUUGAGUGCAGUUGAGGCAGGCGGAAUUCGUGGUGUAGCGGUGAAAUGCUUAGAUAUCACGAAGAACUCCGAUUGCGAAGGCAGCCUGCUAAGCUGCAACUGACAUUGAGGCUCGAAAGUGUGGGUAUCAAACAGGAUUAGAUACCCUGGUAGUCCACACGGUAAACGAUGAAUACUCGCUGUUUGCGAUAUACUGCAAGCGGCCAAGCGAAAGCGUUAAGUAUUCCACCUGGGGAGUACGCCGGCAACGGUGAAACUCAAAGGAAUUGACGGGGGCCCGCACAAGCGGAGGAACAUGUGGUUUAAUUCGAUGAUACGCGAGGAACCUUACCCGGGCUUAAAUUGCAGAUGAAUUACGGUGAAAGCCGUAAGCCGCAAGGCAUCUGUGAAGGUGCUGCAUGGUUGUCGUCAGCUCGUGCCGUGAGGUGUCGGCUUAAGUGCCAUAACGAGCGCAACCCUUGUUGUCAGUUACUAACAGGUUCCGCUGAGGACUCUGACAAGACUGCCAUCGUAAGAUGUGAGGAAGGUGGGGAUGACGUCAAAUCAGCACGGCCCUUACGUCCGGGGCUACACACGUGUUACAAUGGGGGGUACAGAGGGCCGCUACCACGCGAGUGGAUGCCAAUCCCCAAAACCUCUCUCAGUUCGGACUGGAGUCUGCAACCCGACUCCACGAAGCUGGAUUCGCUAGUAAUCGCGCAUCAGCCACGGCGCGGUGAAUACGUUCCCGGGCCUUGUACACACCGCCCGUCAAGCCAUGGGAGCCGGGGGUACCUGAAGUGCGUAACCGCGAGGAGCGCCCUAGGGUAAAACUGGUGACUGGG